ACCCAGACUCCUACGGGAGGCAGCAGUGAGGAAUAUUGGGCAAUGGAGGCAACUCUGACCCAGCCAUGCCGCGUGAGUGAAGAAGGUUUUCGGAUUGUAAAGCUCUUUCGGAUGUGACGAUGAUGACGGUAGCAUCUAAAGAAGCCCCGGCUAACUACGUGCCAGCAGCCGCGGUAAUACGUAGGGGGCAAGCGUUAUCCGGAUUUACUGGGUGUAAAGGGAGCGUAGACGGCAUAGCAAGCCUGAAGUGAAAGCCCAAGGCUCAACCAUGGGACUGCUUUGGAAACUGUUAAGCUAGAGUGCUGGAGAGGUAAGCGGAAUUCCUAGUGUAGCGGUGAAAUGCGUAGAUAUUAGGAAGAACACCAGUGGCGAAGGCGGCUUACUGGACAGUAACUGACGUUGAGGCUCGAAAGCGUGGGGAGCAAACAGGAUUAGAUACCCGCGUA
rnacentral:rRNA from 1 species